rnacentral:misc_RNA from 1 species
CCAUAGCCCCGAUAAAGCCGAUAUCCUUUGAGAGGAACGAACAAAGAUAAAGGCGAAAAGCGGGAACAAUG